CCUACGGGAGGCAGCAGUGGGGAAUAUUGGACAAUGGGGGGAACCCUGAUCCAGCCAUGCCGCGUGUGUGAAGAAGGCCCUCGGGUUGUAAAGCACUUUCAGUGAGGAAGAACGCCUGGUCGUUAAUACCCAUCAGGAAAGACAUCACUCACAGAAGAAGCACCGGCUAACUCCGUGCCAGCAGCCGCGGUAAUACGGAGGGUGCGGGCGUUAAUCGGAAUUACUGGGCGUAAAGCGCGCGUAGGUGGCUUGAUAAGCCGGUUGUGAAAGCCCCGGGCUCAACCUGGGAACGGCAUCCGGAACUGUCAAGCUAGAGUGCAGGAGAGGAAGGUAGAAUUCCCGGUGUAGCGGUGAAAUGCGUAGAGAUCGGGAGGAAUACCAGUGGCGAAGGCGGCCUUCUGGACUGACACUGACACUGAGGUGCGAAAGCGUGGGUAGCAAACAGGAUUAGAUACCCCGGUAGUC
rnacentral:rRNA from 1 species